CUUGGUCAUUUAGAGGAAGUAAAAGUCGUAACAAGGUUUCUGUAGGUGAACUUGCGGAAGGAUCAUUAACGAAUUUGAAGGGGACGCUGAGCUGGCCCUCCGGGGCAUGUGCACGCUCCCCGUCAGAUCCAUUGCAACACCUGUGCACUUCAGAGGGGGAGGGGUCGGUCCAGCCUAACCGCGGGGUCUUCCCCUUCCUCCACUACAUCACAAACUCUUGACAGUACCUAGAACGUUGAGUCGCCUGAGACAUGGCACAACCUAAUACAACUUUCAACAACGUAUCUCUCGGCUCUCGCAUCGAUGAAGAACGCAGCGAAAUGCGAUAAGUAAUGUGAAUUGCAGAAUUCAGUGAAUCAUCGAAUCUUUGAACGCACCUUGCGCUCCUUGGUAUUCCGAGGAGCAUGCUUGUUUGAGUGUCUUGAAAUUCUCAACCUCGGGGGUGCUCUUGUUAGCGCCCCCCGGGGCUUGGAUGUGGGGACCUUGCCGGCCGUUGCAGGCCGACUUCCCUGAAAUGCAUUAGCUCGAGGUUGACUCGGAGCGGUUCACGGCGUGAUAAGUAAAUGAACAUUACGUCCUGGUAAAUCCCGCCUAUGCUGUCUUAUUGGCCUCGGCUUCCAGACGUCUUCGGACAAAAUCAAACUAUGAAUAUGGCCUCAAAUCAGGCAGGACUACCCGCUGAACUUAAGCAUAUCAAUAAGCGGCGGA
rnacentral:rRNA from 1 species